rnacentral:lncRNA from 1 species
AUUGCAAGGUCCGAUCCAUUCCCAUCAGUGUUGAGGAGAGGAAGAGAAGUCUUGUUGGAGAAGGGCAGCCAUCGAGGAGGGGACAGUGGUGCUAGGGCUUCCUUCAGCCUCCCAGCCCCCCGCACAGGAGAGGGAGACAGCAGAGAGGGCCGGAGGGAGGGAGCUGGUGGCUUAAAAUGGAGCCGUUCACAACCCUGCACAGCAAAUGGAGCCAUCGAGAGGACACUUGACUGAGAGGAGAGCAUUGCUGGAGCCAGGGGUGCCGUCUGCAGGACGGAGACAGGAGACAGUGUUGUUUCCAGGGCACUGUGGACCAUGGCACAGGUGAGCAAUUUAAAAAGGUGAUUGGAAUCAUAUGUUAGAAUAAUCACCUUAGCAGUCAAAGGCUCCUGGAAUUUUUCAUUUAAUUUCACAUCUUAGGUGGACUGAUCUAUAAUUUAGUUAAUCUCACAUCUCCACCUAGGAAAACUGGAGCUUUGCACAAUAUUUUCUGCAGACGACAAAGUAUUCACUCAAACUAUUUCUCAUAGUAAAAUGUGCUCUUUGUCCCCAGAGAACUGCUGAAUACUACAUAAGAUCUGUGUAGGAGCCAUGCUUUAACAACAACAACAACAAACACCUCAGACACACAACAACCCUUUCCUCCCUUGAUAAAGAUACCGAAAAGAAUCUGGUCUCUGGGGUGAGGAGUAGGGGAAGCAGGUGCAAGCAGGUGGGUGCAGAGGAGUGGGAAGAUGGCAUUUUGUGUAGGAAAGAAUUUAACCUUGCCCAAAGAGAGGUCUGGCUUUUGUCCUCACCUUCUGGGAGGUGAACUCUAAGCCCUUGGAAUACCAUGCCUGAUUGGAGUUUCUUUGUUUGCCUGGGAUUCUUGGGUCACAGACUGGUCUAACCAUAUGAUUUAGGGUAGAUGCUGGCCACACUGUAUAGUUUUAGGGUAGGGGUUGGCUGUGCCAGAAAGACCAACAAUGUGACUUAGGGUGGGGGCUUUGGGUCACGUGGUAUCAGCUGAUUCUGGAGGAGCUGGAGAGGGAGGGCAGUCACCUGUGUGAUGGAGCUACAAUAAAAACUCUGAACACCAGGGCUAUGGUGAGGUGCCCUGAUUGGCAGUACUCCAUGGGUACUGUCACACAUCAAUGCCAGGAAAGUCAUGCUUUUCAUGACUCCACGGGGAAGAGGACAGUGGAAGCUCCAUGUCUGGUACCUUCCCAGACUAUGCCCUGUGCCCUUCCUCCCUUGGCUGAUUUUAAUCUGUAUCCUUUUGAUGUAACAGAGUGCAACUGUAUGAGAGCUUUUGGUGAGUUCUGCGUCCUUCCAGUGAAUGAUCAAACCUGAGGGUGGUCUAGGGGACCCCUUGCAGUUGGUGCAGCAAUAAAGGUGGUCUUAUGUGGAUGGUGCUCCCUUUAACUUGACAGGUGGCUAACUGAUAUGGUUGGCUGUGUCCCCACCCAAAUCUCAUCUUGAAUUUCCAUGUGUUGUGGGAGGGACCCAGUCGGAGAUAAUUGAAUCAUGGAGGCAAGUCUUUCCUGUGCUGUUCUCAUGAUAGUGAAUACAUCUCACGAGAUCUGAUGGUUUUAAAAAGAGGAGUUCCCCUGUAAGAGCUCUUUCUCCCUUUGCCUGCUGCCAUCCGUGUAAGAUGUGACUUGUUCCUCCUUGCCUUCCACCAUGAUUGUGAAGCUUCCCCAGCCACGUGGAACUGUAAGUCCAAUUAAACCCCUUUCUUUUGUAAA